rnacentral:rRNA from 1 species
UACGUAGGUGGCAAGCGUUGUCCGAAUUUAUUGGGUUUAAAGGGUGCGUAGGCGGCCCUGUAAGUCAGUGCUGAAAUAUCCCGGCUUAACCGGGAGGGUGGCAUUGAUACUGGAGGGCUUGAGUAGAGUCGAGGUAGGCGGAAUUGACGGUGUAGCGGUGAAAUGCUUAGAUAUCGUCAAGAACACCGAUAGUGUAGACAGCUUACUAGACUCAAACUGACGCUGAGGCACGAAAGUGUGGGGAUCAAACAGG